GUGCCAGCCGCCGCGGUAACACGUAGGAGACGAGCGUUAUCCGGAUUUACUGGGUGUAAAGCGCGUGCAGGCGGUUUGGAAAGUUGGAUGUGAAAGCUCCCGGCUUAACUGGGAGAGGUCGUUCAAAACUACCAGACUAGAGUACAGCAGAGGGGAGUGGAAUUCCGAGUGUAGCGGUAAAAUGCAUAGAUAUUCGGAAGAACACCAGUGGCGAAGGCGGCUCCCUGGGCUGAAACUGACGCUCAGACGCGAAAGCUAGGGUAGCGAACGGGAUUAGAUACCCCCGUAGUCC
rnacentral:rRNA from 1 species